GGUCUCCCCGCCGAGGUUCCCGUGCUGCACGUUGCAACGACCGUUCUUCUCCACGAACCGCUGGCGUUUCUUUUUGACAGAUCUAUCUGUCGGACCUGCCUGGUGUGUUCCUUGUUCUUCAUGAUGCUCUCUGCGCUUUUAACGGACCUCUGAGACUAUCACAGUGCAGGUGCAUUUAUACGGAGACUUGAUUACACACAGGUGGAUUGUAUUUAUCAUCAUUAGUCAUUUAGGUCAACAUUGGAUCAUUCAGAGAUCCUCACUGAACUUCUGGAGAGAGUUUGCUGCACUGAAAGUAAAGGGGCUGAAUAAUUUUGCACGACCACUUUUUCAGUUUUUGAUUUGUUAAAAAAGUUUGAAAUAUCCAAUAAAUGUCGUUCCACUUCA